rnacentral:pre_miRNA from 1 species
AUCCUACUCCCUCCGUUCUAAAUUACUUGUCUUGGAUUUGUCUAGAUACAAAUGUAUCUAGACUCAUUUUAGUGCUAGAUACAUCCGUAUCUAGACAAAUCUAAGACAAGUAAUU